GUGGGGAAUAUUGGACAAUGGGCGAAAGCCUGAUCCAGCCAUGCCGCGUGUGUGAAGAAGGUCUUCGGAUUGUAAAGCACUUUAAGUUGGGAGGAAGGGUAGUAACCUAAUACGUUGCUACUUUGACGUUACCGACAGAAUAAGCACCGGCUAACUUCGUGCCAGCAGCCGCGGUAAUACGAAGGGUGCAAGCGUUAAUCGGAAUUACUGGGCGUAAAGCGCGCGUAGGUGGUUCAGUAAGUUGGAAGUGAAAUCCCCGUGCUCAACCUGGGAACUGCCUCCAAAACUACUGAGCUAGAGUACGGUAGAGGGUAGUGGAAUUUCCUGUGUAGCGGUGGAAUGCGUAGAUAUAGGAAGGAACACCAGUGGCGAAGGCGACUACCUGGACUGAUACUGACACUGAGGUGCGAAAGCGUGGGGAGCAAACAGGAUUAGAAACCCCUGUAGUCC
rnacentral:rRNA from 1 species